rnacentral:rRNA from 1 species
UACGUAGGGUGCAAGCGUUGUCCGGAUUUACUGGGCGUAAAGAGCGCGCAGGCGGUCGAUCAAGUCGCGUGUGAAAGCCCCCGGCUCAACUGGGGAGGGUCACGCGAUACUGAUCGACUCGAAGGCAGGAGAGGGUAGUGGAAUUCCCGGUGUAGUGGUGAAAUGCGUAGAUAUCGAGAGGAACACCUGCGGCGAAGGCGGGUAGCUGGGCCGACACUGACGUGAGGAGCGAAAGCGUGGGGAGCGAACAGG